CCUACGGGUGGCAGCAGUGGGGAAUAUUGGGCAAUGGGCGCAAGCCUGACCCAGCAACGCCGCGUGAAGGAAGAAGGCUUUCGGGUUGUAAACUUCUUUUCUCAGGGACGAAGCAAGUGACGGUACCUGAGGAAUAAGCCACGGCUAACUACAUGCCAGCAGCCGCGGUAAUACGUAGGUGGCAAGCGUUAUCCGGAUUUACUGGGUGUAAAGGGCGUGUAGGCGGGAAAGCAAGUCAGAUGUGAAAACCAUGGGCUCAACCUGUGGCCUGCAUUUGAAACUGUUUUUCUUGAGUACUGGGGAGGCAGACGGAAUUCCUAGUGUAGCGGUGAAAUGCGUAGAUAUUAGGAGGAACCCCAGUGGCGAAGGCGGUCUGCUGGACAGCAACUGACGCUGAGGCGCGAAAGCGUGGGGAGCAAACAGGAUUAGAUACCCCGGUAGUC
rnacentral:rRNA from 1 species